AGAAUCAACGCUGGCGGCGUGCCUAACACAUGCAAGUCGAACGAGAAAGGGGUAGCAAUACCCUGAGUAAAGUGGCGCACGGGUGAGUAACACGUGACUAACCUACCCUUGAGUGGGGGAUAACUGAGGGAAACCUUAGCUAAUACCGCAUAAUACCCACGGGUCAAAGGAGCAAUUCGCUCGAGGAGGGGGUCGCGGCCGAUUAGUUAGUUGGCGGGGUAAUGGCCCACCAAGACGAUGAUCGGUAUCCGGCCUGAGAGGGCGCGACGGACGACGACUGGAACUGAAACACGGUCCAGACUCCUACGGGAGGCAGCAGUGGGGAAUUUUGCGCAAUGGGGGAAACCCUGACGCAGCAACGCCGCGUGGAGGAUGAAGUCCUUCGGGACGUAAACUCCUUUCGAUCGGGACGAUUAUGACGGUACCGGAAGAAGAAGCCCCGGCUAACUUCGUGCCAGCAGCCGC
rnacentral:rRNA from 1 species